CGUCAGUGGGAAGGGUUAGGAAGCGAAUAAUUUUCUGAAUUUCUUUGAGACAAAGGGAUUAAAAAAAGGGGGGCAGUCUCUAAAUUUGUUUAAUUUAAAAAGAGGAGGAGGAGGAGGAGGAGGAGGAGGAG